ensembl:lncRNA
GUGGAUCCGGUCCUUAGAGCGGAGUUGAGGGAGGUAAAGCAUGAGAAGCCCCCGAAGGGUGUGUGUGGAGUGGGAAGAUGCUGAGAGGGGAGGAGGGUGACCCCCCGCCCCCUUGUCUGGGACUCACCUCGGCCAGGGCUGAGCCACAGGGCCAGGCUUAGGGCCCGGACACCCGCCUCCCGAGGGAAAUACCACGAGGGCCUGUGCCCGGUGGGUUUUUCUCCACCAAGAACCAGAGAAUCUGGAAGGGCCUUCAGGGUCAUUUGACCUAAGGGGUCACGGUGCUCAGGGAGGAGCAGAGAUGCCAUGAAGGGGACCAGCAGGCUGAUGGUGUCUCGCAUGCCAGCUUCCUAGGCCAAGGCAGGUCCGUACAGCAGCCCACAGUCCUCUAGGCAAGGGGCUUGGGCAGCCCCUGUUUGCAAGGGGAGAGCUACAGGACUGGUCUUGAAGCCACAGUAGCAGAGAGGUGCACGGGGUCUAUUGGGUGGAGGGUUUCUAACGGGUGGCCUGGGGGAGGGCACACAUGGACGUUAUGAAGGAGAUUUAGCUCCUGCCCCUCCCCCUGGCAAACUCCAUCAUAACCCCACCGCAACCUCUGUUUUCUCCUGUCAGCCUCGGAGGGCCUCUGUCCCUGCAGCCAAAAAUGCCCUAGCGUGAAAAUAUAAUAUCUAAUCCAGCGGUUCUCAAUCCCGGCUGGACAUCAGCACGAGCCACCGAUUCAAUCCAAAUCUCUGGAGGUGGGGCCUGGGUCUUUUCUAAAGUUCCCCAGGUGAUUCUGGCGGGCAGCCAGCGUGGGGAUCCCGAGGUAGUCCGACGCCCUGGGCUGUCUGGCUCUUGGUCUGUGUCCUCAUCAUCCCGCCCCCAGUGCCGUGGGUGGGACCCAGGUCACAGCAAAUAUACAUACAAAUACGGGAGCCCGCCCCUACGGCUCCAGCACCCACGAUGGUGGCCUACGUACCCCAACAGCCAUUGUAGCAACACUUCCUGCCUGGAUUCUGGGCCAUUCAUUGCACGUGGCUCAGUGCUUCCCUGGGUUUCUCCUGCUCCUGUCCCCCUGAGCCCCACGCACCGGGUGUGGACGGCGCAGACUGGGUGUGAACAUGCUGGAGAUGCCCAGUUAUCCCAGUCAUUCAUACACUUGUCCAAAGGAUGUGAGUAUGCACCCUGGCUUUGCACAUCCCCGCUUACACAUAGAAGGCACAGGAAUUCGCCAUCGCUCUACACUCCUUGCCCACAAGGAGAGACAGCGCCUGGCACGAAGUGCCGGGUCUUGCGAUCAGACCUCCACUGUCUCCAGCCCGCCCCGUGCUCUGGAACAAGUCACACCAUCUCCCUAAGUCUCCGUUUGAAAACCGGCAGCAGCAGUCCUGACCUCAGCGGGUUGUUGUGAGGGCUGUGGUGUUAAUCUGGUAGCAAAAUUCUGGACACACGGUUACAAACCGCGAAGAGCUUUCCCGAGGCAAGGAGAUGGGCGUGAGCGCGAGCUGCGGCUGGAGAGAUCGGGUUCGCAGGAAUGGGACGGGAACAACCCACUCAUUUGCAGGGAGCUGUAUCUCUGGAAGCCCUAGGAAGCAGCUACAAAGGCUGGGGUUGCCGGUUCUCCGCAGUGAGAAAGGCUUCCUUUGCAGAUGGAGCGAUUGAGGUUAGGCAUUGGGAAGAACUUUCCCUCUGCCGGAGGAAGAAGUAAA